rnacentral:tRNA from 1 species
CAUUAAGUGGCUGAAAGUUAGUGUUGGUCUCUUAAACCAUUUGAAGGUAGAUUUACGCCUAUUCUUAAUGG